rnacentral:rRNA from 1 species
AGUCCAGACUCCUACGGGAGGCAGCAGUGGGGGAUAUUGCACAAUGGGGGGAACCCUGAUGCAGCGACGCCGCGUGGGUGAAGGAGUGCUUCGGCAUGUAAAGCCCUAUCGGCAGGGAAGAAAAUGACGGUACCUGACUAAGAAGCCCCGGCUAACUACGUGCCAGCAGCCGCGGUAAUACGUAGGGGGCAAGCGUUAUCCGGAUUUACUGGGUGUAAAGGGAGCGUAGACGGUCCUGCAAGCCAGAUGUGAAAGCCCGGGGCUCAACCCCGGGACUGCAUUUGGAACUGUGAGGCUAGAGUGUCGGAGAGGCAGGCGGAAUUCCUAGUGUAGCGGUGAAAUGCGUAGAUAUUAGGAGGAACACCAGUGGCGAAGGCGGCCUGCUGGACGAUGACUGACGUUGAGGCUCGAAAGCGUGGGGAGCAAACAGGAUUAGAUACCCGCGUA